AAAAAGAGAGGAAAUUCAUAGAUCAUCUCUUAAUGUGAUGAAUCCAAAACUUAUGCAUGCAUUUAUCUCCUCCUAAUUACCUGAAUUUUGCGCCGGCGGUUCCAGGGACGGCGUCACAAGUGGCUUCCAGGGAUGGCGUCGCAGGUGGCUUCCAGGGGUGGCGUCGCAGGCGGCUUUCAGGGGCAGCGCCGGCGGCUUGCAGGGGCGGUGGCGUAGGCGGGAGCUUGCAGGGGUGAGCCAGCGUGGGCUACCAGGGGCGGCACCGGUAGGGCCUCGUAGGGGCGACGACGCCGGGGAAUACUAGGGGCGGCGCCGGCGGGUGUAGAAGGGAUCCGGCGGUGGGAACCGAGAUGGAGGAGGCAAAGGAAAGAAUGGAGAUGGGAAGGAUAAGGAGGAAGUGGGAGGUUACGAUCUUCUUUUUUUUCGGCGGCAGGAAGUGGGAGGUUUGCAGGAUGGGCGGUAAUUGGUGCCGGACGGCGCCAAGCUAAUUUUCGGGGAAAAUAAAAAAAUCAGGCACCAAGCUAUUGGAUGGGUCCCACUUGUCGGCAUCGGGUUUUAGUUCGGUUCAUGAUGAUCUUCUUUUUUUAAUUUUGAUCCAUCGUAAAAAUGCUAAACAUGUUUAGAUGUCGCAUUUGUUGUCCAAAUUAGGUGAUUUUUUUUUCUAAUUCCUCGGAAAACUUUUUUUCUUUCACGUGGUUUUAUUUCCAUGGUGUUACUCAACCACUUGUACUAACAUUUUGGCAUUUACUUCACUAUUUACUUACUGUACAAUGAAAUGCCCUUUUUUGAAUGUGUCAAAGGUAUCAGGGGCAUAUAAAUAGUCAAGUUGAAUUCUUGGUUGAUCAAAUCUAUAUAUAUGCCACAUCAUAUAGGUGUAUCAUGUUCAAUGUCAUAUUCUUUGCCUUGAGGUAAUUGUCGGGCAUACUCCCCUGACCCACGAGUAGGCCUUGGACGGCCCACUAAGGGACGUACUCAGACGUGAUCAGAACAAGGAUAGGCGUGUCCUUCUCGGACUAGUCUUGUAUAUGGAAAACUACUCGAGCCGAUACC
rnacentral:lncRNA from 1 species